rnacentral:rRNA from 1 species
GUGAGCCAGUACAGGAUGGACCCGCGUCUGAUUAGCUAGUUGGUAAGGUAACGGCUUACCAAGGCGACGAUCAGUAGCCGACCUGAGAGGGUGAUCGGCCACAUUGGAACUGAGACACGGUCCAAACUCCUACGGGAGGCAGCAGUGGGGAAUAUUGCACAAUGGGCGAAAGCCUGAUGCAGCAACGCCGCGUGAGGGAUGAAGGCCUUCGGGUCGUAAAACUCUGUCCUCAAGGAAGAUAAUGACGGUACUUGAGGAGGAAGCCCCGGCUAACUACGGGCCAGCAGCCGCGGUAAUACGGAGGGGGCUAGCGUUAUCCGGAUUUACUGGGCGUAAAGGGUGCGUAGGCGGUCUUUCAAGUCAGGAGUGAAAGGCUACGGCUCAACCGUAGUAAGCUCUUGAAACU